rfam:Punica granatum cultivar Dabenzi scaffold1, whole genome shotgun sequence.
AUUAGAAACAUCAUUGAGUGCAGCGUUGAUGAAAUUCUCCGGCACCCUCCUUUCCCAUUUCCAGGUUUGGAACAAUUUCAUCAGCUCUGCACUCAAUAAUGUUUCUA